rnacentral:sRNA from 1 species
UUCAUGCAUUUAACAGAAUGAAACGCUGCAUCUGAUAUGACCAGAAUGGA